CCUACGGGUGGCAGCAGUGAGGAAUAUUGGUCAAUGGACGAGAGUCUGAACCAGCCAAGUAGCGUGAAGGAUGACUGCCCUAUGGGUUGUAAACUUCUUUUAUAUGGGAAUAAAAUGUUCCACGUGUGGGAUUUUGUAUGUACCAUAUGAAUAAGGAUCGGCUAACUCCGUGCCAGCAGCCGCGGUAAUACGGAGGAUCCGAGCGUUAUCCGGAUUUAUUGGGUUUAAAGGGAGCGUAGGUGGAUUGUUAAGUCAGUUGUGAAAGUUUGCGGCUCAACCGUAAAAUUGCAGUUGAAACUGGCAGUCUUGAGUACAGUAGAGGUGGGCGGAGUUCGUGGUGUAGCGGUGAAAUGCUUAGAUAUCACGAAGAACUCCGAUUGCGAAGGCAGUUCACUGGACUGCAACUGACACUGAGGCUCGAAAGUGUGGGUAUCAAACAGGAUUAGAUACCCGAGUAGUC
rnacentral:rRNA from 1 species